UCAGCCUACACCACAGCCACAGCCACAGCAACACAGGAUCCAAGCCACGUCUGUGACCUAUACCACAGCUCAUGGCAACACCAGAUCCCCAACCCACUAAGCGAGGCCAGGGAUCGAACCUGCUUCCUCAUGGAUACCAGUCAGAUUCGUUUCCACUGUGCCACAACAGGAACUCCUCUUUGCCAUUUUCUUAAUCAGCAAACACUAGAAUUUUGAUAACUACCCUACUCAUUUUCCUUGAAACAAGGAAUUAAUUCCUUGGAUUAAUGAUGUGGAAGUAAGUAACAAAACCAAGCACAGGCAAUGUGGGAGAACAUACACAAUCCCUUGUUUCCUCCUGGUUGGGAGAAUUCUAGAAGGAAGAAUUCUAGAUCUGACAGGCCAUUGGGCAGAGCAGUAGGUCCUCCUGAAAUGAUCAGCACUGGAGAGAGAGGAAGAUGACUGUCUCAAGACUUUGGUCAAACACACCCUUCUGGGGAAGGAAAAGGUUGGUGAUAAAGGAUGUAGAAGUGCAAUGGGUCUGAUUUGAUGGAGAGUCUGGAGAGUUUUAAAGAUGGGAGAGAGAGAAGAUAUUGGGGAAGCUUCUAUAGAUGUGAAAUACUGAAAGGGACAAAUAAUAGGAAAUAGGGCCUUCAGUUGUUGUUAAACUUGAAGCGGACAAAUGGAAUCCUCUCUCUAGAGAUUUCAGGAAUGAUUCAACUUGCGUUGUAGAUACAGUUUGGCUGAUGGAUUAUUAUUUCCUUGAAUACAACCCCACAUGGGAAUGAACUACAGGGGAAAGGACAUGGAAGGCUAUAUCUUCUAUAGGUCACAGUGGUUCUGCAGUUUCCAAGCCUUUUCCUUUUUCUUGCCCAACGAAUACUCUGUGAGACUGGGAAGAACAACUAUUGCAGUUGGAGAAGCUUAUGAGCUCUAGGAGCCAGAAUCUCUGAUAUGGCAAGUAGACCUGGAGCUUGUCGUUUUAAUGAAUGAAAUCAAAGACCUGGUUAAUGAGCACAGUUUUCUGACAGUAGCCAAGUCAUAGUAACAGGUAGUAGAUCAGCAAAAGAGGCCAUGAGAGGGGAGAAAUCAGGGUGUUCUUUGUGCCAUCAUUUUUAAAGAAGGGGAAAUGCUGACUAGAAAUUGUAAGGAAACAGCUUGGCUUUGCAGAUGGCCAAUGCCAUUAUCAAAGAGAGCCAAGGGGCAGGAGUGACAUGAGACAAUCCAAUAUUAAUUUGGAGUUCUAGAAGCCCAGACCUUGCCUGCCAACCAUCAUUUCCAUGCUAUGUUCAUCUGCCUGCCAGAGGCGAUUAUUGCCAUGCAACACCAAAUGCACAAGUGGUGGCCGUGGUCAAGAGAAAGGUGAAGGGUAAUGCGGAAAACCUCUAAUGCUCUGCUUCACUAUAGAGAAGGCUGAGCUUAUACAAAACCAGAAGAAAUCAUACCAAGUGAAAACUCCAAGAGCCCAGGAGCUUUGAUUAGAUUUUUUUCUCUGUCGUUUUGCUCUCAGAGCAUCUUAAAAUUUUCAUUUCUAGCACUUCUUACAAUUACAAUGAAUUAUUGAGUAAUUAUUUGUUAAUGUCUUUCUCUUUGGACUAUGAGUUCCAUGUGAGCGGGGAUAAUUUUGUUCACCCUAAAACCCAGCAUGGUAUCUAGCUUCUGGCUUGUGGUCAAUAAUUAUUGGUUCAUCAAAUGAGUAAAAUAAGUGUGAUCAGGGAUGGAGCAAGAAGGAACUGUCUAGGGGAGGAGUGGUGAAGGAAGGUGAUCCAGAGGAGAGAAGUAAGAAGACAUUCUGCACAAAGUUCUGGAAAAAGCAGUAAGUUCCUCCAACUGAGGGGGAGCCUGAGUCUCCAAGAACGUUGCUAGGUAAAGUGUGGUCCAAGAACCAGAGCAUCCACAUCACCAUCACCUGGGAGCUUAGAUGGGAAUGGAGGACCUUGGCACUACCUGCUGAAGCAGAAUCUUCAUUUAAGCAUAUAUCCAAGUGUUUUGGAUGCACAUGAAAGUCUGAGAAGUACUGCUUGAUGGCCCAAGCCAGUGUCCUGCUUCCUAAUAUGGCUAAGGAGAUGUAGAAAAGGCAGGAAUCUAUCGGUGGGAAUAUGUCCCACCAAAACUAUUACACAAAAGGUGUGAUGUUCAACCUUUUGGUAGGAAAGUAUUCUUAAUGUAGACUUAGGGCCAGUCCCAAAGCUGGACUGGGAGAGCUGAUUGAAAUCAUGCCAAGAAAAAUCAUGCCAGGUUGACUCACAUGGGGAAAAAAAAAGUCACACCAUACAAACAGGGACAUAGAAAAGCUAAAGUGUAGGAACUCUUUGUCCACUGUUUAUUUAUACCAUUGACUGAAUUUCAGGGAAAAGAGAGAGAAAAUGAGGAUCAAUGAGCAAAGUCCUGGAGGUAAAGUGUUGGUUGAGGGUUCUCCAGGGGUGCCUCAGGAAAUGACUUUGGAGUGAGAGAGUUGAGGGGGAGAUCACAUAAGAGGCAAUAUUCAGCCAGAAGAGCUGUUUUAUAUGUUUGAGUUCUACCAAGUACUGGUGUGGUAGAAAGGGAACAUGGAUUGGCUUGCAUGCCCUUUCAGAAAGAUGACUAAAAGAGGAACAGUUUUAAUCUAAACAGUUAUAAACGGUCAUGGGGGUGUUUUCAGACCUUCCUUGUAGAAAAUGAGAGAAAACACAGAGACUGAAGACAUUUGUUUUUGCAGGUUACCUAUUUAUGUAACACAAACAUACAGCACCCAGGAUAUCGUUACAGCUUACUCUCAGAUCUCUUUCCAGCUGAGCCUGGACUUCAUCUUAACCUAUAACUCUAGACGGUUACUCGCAAAUGAUUAGAAAUGGCUCUGAAAAUGAAAUUCAUUUAUCACUUUGGGUUCCAGAAAAUAGAAAGCCACAUUAAUAAUUUCUCUAGUUAUCCAUAUUUUAGUAAUGUAAUGAUGAUUCUGUAUGUGGACAAGAAGUGAACAUUUGCCAAUUUUCCUAACUAUUUAGCACCAUUUGAACCUUCUUCCUAUUCCUGGGGUAUUUCCAAUCUUAAAUAACACUUUCCCAAGAAGGGAGCCUACAGCUUAUUUUUCCCCAUCUUCCCUUGAAAAUAGAUUCCACCAAUCAUGUAUACUUGUGAAAGACUUCUGAUUGGAAGAGAGCUGCAAGGUAAAGCCAGCACUUCACAAAUUCCAUUUUGGGUGAAGGGGGUAGUGAAGCCAUCCAGCUUUCUAGGAUAUUAAUGGUCAAGAUUCUGUCAUCUGCAAGUUGAGGUGUCUUUACCCAGCUGCAGCAGGGAUGGGUCCUGGCUGGAGCAGAAGUACCCUGUGCUUUGGGCAGUGUCAUUGACUUUGUAGCCUAUAGACCUGAUGUUCUGACCCUUGUGGGAUUCUUCAAUAUUCUGUAAUGUGUUUUUUUUCUGCUGAGUCUAGCUAGAGUAGGUACUGUUGUUUUCAGCUAAGAAUCCUGAACCUGUGGUUAAAAAAAGAAGCUCCAAUUCUUUGUCAUCCUUUGUAUGAAUAGUAAUUGCUGUAUAAUAAAUUACUUCAUACCUUCAUGGUUUACAACAACAAUAAAACUAUUACCUCUCAUAGUUUCUGUGUGUCAGGAAUAUUUUGGAGUAGCUUAGCUUAGGUUCUUUGUUGCACUUAAGAUGUGAGCUGGAGCAGGAAGAUCCACUUCCAUCGUGGUGGCAAGUUGGUGCUGGUUGUUGGCACUUGGCCUCAGUUCCUCUCCAUGUAUAAUAUGAACUUUGAAGUAAACUUUUUAUUGAAGUAAGGUACAGAUCUACUUGACUGUCCUUGUGACAAGUGGCUGGUUUCUCCAGAGCAAGAAAGCCAUGAAUGAAAGAGAGAGAGCGAGAGAGAGAGAGAGAGAGAGCGCUCCAGGCAGAAGCUAUCCUUUUAUGACCUAGCCUGGGAAUCUUCACUUCCACCACACUCUUCUCAUUAGAAAUGAGUCACUAAGACUAGUCCACAUUUGAGAGGAGGGGAAAUAGUCUCCCCCUUUAAUAUGGGGCAGUGUCAAAGACUUUUUUAAAACCACCAACCAUGUUCUUUGUCAUAUAACUUUGCAAUGCCUUCUCACAGUUGGUGAGCUAACCUGCCCAACCCCACCACACUAAGCUAAGUCAUUUGACUUAAUUUGGACAAAAGGAUCUUUGGAGACAGGAUAUAAGUAGAGAUUUGAGAAGUGCUUGCAUGUAUUCCCUCACUUGCUGUCUUGCAUCUCUGCUGUCACCAUGAGAAUGUACGUAAGGUAGCCUAUUGAAUAAUGAGAGCUACGUGGUACAGAGUCAAGUAUGUUGGUUAUCUAUGACUGCAUAACAAAUUGUCCCCAAAGAUAGCAUAAAACAAUAGGCAUUAUCUUUCAGAGUUUCUAUGCUUUAGAAAUUCAUGAGUGGCUUAGCUGGUUGGUCCUGAUUCAGGGUUCUGGCUCAGGGUUAUGGUCAUCUGAAGGCUUGGCUGGGGCUAGACAGCCUACUUCCAAAAUGGCUCUUGCAUGUGUCUGGCAAGUUGGUGCUGGAUGUUGAGAUUUUGGUUUCUCAUCCUGUGAAUCUCUCCAUAGGGCUGAUUAUGUAUCCUUAGGACAUGGUAACUGGCUUCACUUAGCUGAGUGGUCCAAAUGAGCAAGACAGAAGCUAGAGUGUCUUUUGUGACCAGGCUUUGGAGUGACUGUGUUGGCUUUUGAAUAUCCUAUUAGUUACACAGGACAGCUUUACAUUAUAUGGGAAGGAACUGCACCAGAAUGAGGUUUUCAGGAGGCAAGCAUCAACUGAGGACUGUCUUGGUGGAUCACAACCACACCGAGCUGUUCUAAUUAUUCCAGUUGAGGCCAACUUAUAUUAGGCAGUAGCUCUCCUUACCCCAGAUAUGGGAGCAAGCUCUGGACAAUCAACAGAGCUGAUCCAAAUGUGUAAGCAAUCAAAGAGUUUUGGGGCUUAUUUGUUUGACAGCAUUAUCAUGCACAGCCACAAUAAUGUGCUGAUACAUGCAUGUUAAUGACCCUGGGAGAAAUUCAUAGGAUUAUGAAUUAGAAUUGCACAGAGAGUCUGUAGCCUCAGUUUUCCAAUUGGCUGACAUUAAGAUUCACAUAUAGAUAGGUUCUCUGCCUUUAAGGACGUAUAAUAAUUUUUACAGAUUUAAGUAUUUGAACCAUUGGGUUCUUUGUUUCUCCUACAAAAUAAAACUCAGAAAUAAAUGCACACAGUUGCUUUUCUGAAUCAUUCUCGAACUACUUUGGUGUAUAAUGAGUGGAAUUCUCAUUCAUAAAAUCUUUAAAGUUAAAAAAAAUCAAUUUUACUAACUAUAGUUUACAUGUAAUAAAUGCACUAAUUUUAACUGCACAGUUUGGUUAGUUUUAAUGAAUGUAUAGUAUGUAUAGUCUUGUAAUCACCACCAUAGUUGAACUAUUGCAUAUUUCCAUCAUCCCCUAAAGUUUGCUCAUAUGAUAUGAGCUUCAAAGUAAACUUUUUAUUGAAGUAAAAUACACAU
rnacentral:lncRNA from 1 species